rnacentral:rRNA from 1 species
GANUCAACACGGGGAAACUCACCAGGUCCAGNCAUAGCGAGGANNGACAGAUUGAGAGCUNUUUCUUGAUUCUAUGGGUGNUGGUGCAUGGCCGUUCUUAGUUCGUGGAGUGAUUUGUCUGGUUAAUUCCGAUAACGAACGAGACNUUAUUCUGCUAAUUAGACAGNCUAACUCUUUCGGGUUGGUUUAUAUUUAAUAUUUAACUGGCUUNUUAGAGAGACUAUCGGNUUCAAGCCGAAGGAAGUUNUAGNCAAUAACAGGUCUGUGAUGNCCUUAGAUNUUGUGGGCCGCACGCGCGCUACANUGACAGAGCCAGCGAGUACUCCCUUGGCCGGAAGGCCCGGGUAAUCUUGUUAAACUCUGUCGUGCUGGGGAUAGNGCAUUGCAAUUAUUGNUCUUCAACGAGGAAUCCCUAGUAAGCGCAAGUCAUCAGCUUGCGUUGAUUACGUCCCUGCCCUUUGUACACACCGCCCGUCGCUACUACCGAUUGAAUGGCUCAGNGAGGCUUCCGGANUGGCCCAGAGAGNUCGGCAANGACCAGCUCANGGCCGGAAAGCUAUNCAAACUCGGUCAUUUAGAGGAAGUAAAAGUCGUAACAAGGUUU